rnacentral:rRNA from 1 species
AUUGAACGCUGGCAGCAGGCUUAACACAUGCAAGUCGAGCGGUAACAUUUCAAAGCUUGCUUUGAAGAUGACGAGCGGCGGACGGGUGAGUAAUGCUUGGGAAUAUGCCUUGAAGUGGGGGACAACAGUUGGAAACGACUGCUAAUACCGCAUAAUAUCUUCGGAUCAAAGUGGGGGACCUUCGGGCCUCACGCCAUAAGAGUAGCCCAAGUGGGAUUAGCUAGUUGGUAAGGUAAUGGCUUACCAAGGCAACGAUCCCUAGUUGGUCUUAGAGGAUGACCAGCCACACUGGAACUGUGACACGGUCCAG